CAGUCGCCACGGUAAUACGAAGGGGGCUAGCGUUGCUCGGAAUGACUGGGCGUAAAGGGCGCGUAGGCGGAUGGCACAGUCAGAUGUGAAAUUCCCGGGCUUAACCUGGGGGCUGCAUUUGAUACGUGUUGUCUAGAGUGAGGAAGAGGGUUGUGGAAUUCCCAGUGUAGAAGUGAAAUUCGUAGAUAUUGGGAAGAACACCGGUGGCGAAGGCGGCAACCUGGUCCUUGACUGACGCUGAGGCGCGAAAGCGUGGGGAGCAAAUGGGAUUAGAGACCCCCGUAGUCCCUGUCUCUUAUAC
rnacentral:rRNA from 1 species